rnacentral:rRNA from 1 species
AUUGAACGCUGGCGGCAUGCCUUACACAUGCAAGUCGAACGGUAACGCGGGGCAACCUGGCGACGAGUGGCGAACGGGUGAGUAAAGUAUCGGAACGUGCCCAAUAGUGGGGGAUAGCCCGGCGAAAGCCGGAUUAAUACCGCAUGAGACCUGAGGGUGAAAGCGGGGGACUCGCAAGAGCCUCGCGCUGUUGGAGCGGCCGAUAUCAGAUUAGGUAGUUGGUGGGGUAAAGGCCUACCAAGCCGACGAUCUGUAGCUGGUCUGAGAGGACGACCAGCCACACUGGGACUGAGACACGGCCCAGACUCCUACGGGAGGCAGCAGUGGGGAAUUUUGGACAAUGGGCGCAAGCCUGAUCCAGCCAUGCCGCGUGCGGGAAGAAGGCCU